ensembl:lncRNA
UUAGAAGCAUUUUCUCCCGGGGAAAGAGCCUUCAGACUUGGCUGGGCCCGGUUCCUCCAGGGGCCUCCCCUGGCUGAGCCAGAUUCCCCCAUUGGUCCUCUGGGCAAAGCCCUCCCACCCCCAGGUCAGGACACAGCAUCUCGCAGCGGGGAGGGCUUGCUACACUGCAGCCUGACUUCAAGCUCUGACCUCUGCAGAGUCCUAGAGGAAGGACCACACACCCCAUCCUUUGCCCCCCAACAUCACUCCUUCGGGGCUCAGGGAGACCCCUCACACAGAAAGGUUUGCUCCCUGAGAGCUCAGCCAUUUCCACCUCCUGCAUCAAACUGCCCUCCAGAAUCCAGCUCCACAUUUCUUCUGGAAGCUUCCUCCCUGACCAGCCCUGCAAGGCUCUGUUCCUCGUUCUUGCCACAUUGGGUCUUCCUGUCAACUAAAGCACCACAGCCUUACCCAUUGGCUCAUGCCUGUGUAUUUUCUCGGCCUUCCUUUGUUGAAACGAAAGCCAUGCACAGGGAACAGCUCUUGAGGAAGAAUCAAUCAUCGUGUUCACGGGUGACAGGUGCUCAGCUGUCACUGUGCCCAGCACCUGUACCCAGCAGGACGUGUGAUCCUCACAGCUCUAGGAGGUGCUUUCUAUCCCAGCCCCAUCUCAGGGGAAGGGAAGCUGGGCAGAGAGAUGAGGCAACGUGCCACCGUGGUGAUGAGGCGGGACUUGACUUGGGGCCUUGUGACUCUGAGACACACACCCACAGCCCCCACCCUCACUGCUCAGGAGGAACGAGCAGCCCCUACAUUUCUUCCCCUCUUUGGAAUUUUCCUCUGCCCCUCCUUCCAUCUGGCUAGCCUCAGGGCUGUGCCACGCUCCCUCCCGCCUUGAAAGCCCGAUCUAAGUCUGAACAGCAACCCAAACGAAAUUAAGCAAAGAAAGAAAAGAAACCCUAAGAAUUGCUCACAGGUACAACGAGGCGGCUCCCGCUUGGAAAGCCAUCUCUUGGGUUGGCAGUGCUGGGUGACAAAAAAAUCCAGACCCAGUUGCUACUCCCGACACUUGCUAGCUGCGUGAUCUUGAGCAAGUUAUUUCACCUCUCUGAGCCUCGGUUACCUGAUCUGUCACCAUCUCAUGGGUGGUAAGAUGAAAUGACUUCUAGAGGGGACAGCCAGCCGGCUUAACCCAGACGUUUAGCCAUCUUUAGCUCAUGGUCACGAUUUCUCAUUUUGGCCACAGAAGAGCCUUCCCUAAGGCAGGUCACCCCCCCCAAGACCACUCCCUUCUCCUUCAGUCCAGUUUCCUGCCUCCAGCAGAGCCAAGGACUGGAGACCGUCGUCGCAUGAGCGACCUGCCCCUGCUCCAUGCAGGAAAAGCAUCACUUCCUGCACUGAGUCCUCGGGCAUUGAAAGGAGGUGCUUGUGAUGGUGCAUCUGCGCUCACACCGACCCCCACACCCACCCGGGGACAGGAGGGGAGUCUCUUAGUCCUUCCCACCACAAUUUCUGAACGUAGACGCCUGCAGAAGCUCCCUUUGCAGGGCUCACUCCCAGAGGACCAGCUCUCCGUCCUUGAGUGACUGCCAGCCCUGCUGAUGCUUGCUGUAAAGUUAGUCUACUUCCCAGCUGGUAGGCAGCGUUCAUCCAGCAACCAGGCCACCCACUGUGGCGGCCCAGCCCACGGGAAGCCGGCCAGGGGAGCCUAUGGCACGUGAGCCCAGGCACUGGGCUGACAGCUCUCCUUCAAUGAUUUGAUUUAAUCCUUGCCACCUCCCAGGGGGAAAGAUGCCAUUAUCUCUAUUUUACGGAUGCGGAUACCAGAGCUCAGAGGCGGCCAGUCGCUGUCCAGGGUAAUUUAGCUGGUAAGUGGUGAGGCCAGGAUGGACCUGGACCGUCUGACUUCACAAAUCACCAUCCCAUUAGGCUGCCUGUUCCUACUGCCAGCGGGGUGCCAGGACUCUGAGCUCCCUCCCUGGUCUUCAGAACGUGGAUUCAGUCCAGCAAGACUUUGCAGAGCCUCGGGGCAUAUCCAUGAGUCCCGUGGAGGUUGCCCAACCUGACAGGAGGUCUCUUUUAGAGGUAGCUGGUGCUGAUGGUUAUUAAAUGUUCAUACCAAGGGAGCCGGGACAGUGGCACAAGAUCCAGGACCUGAAGUCACCACUUUGCGUCCUUUUCUGGAGCAGCUCUGCUGAUGCUUCUCACAUCUGCAAGACCCG